GACGUAGGGCGCAAGCGUUGUCCGGAUUUAUUGGGCGUAAAGAGCUCGUAGGCGGUUUGUCGCGUCUGCUGUGAAAUCCCGAGGCUCAACCUCGGGUCUGCAGUGGGUACGGGCAGACUAGAGUGUGGUAGGGGAGACUGGAAUUCCUGGUGUAGCGGUGGAAUGCGCAGAUAUCAGGAGGAACACCGAUGGCGAAGGCAGGUCUCUGGGCCACUACUGACGCUGAGAAGCGAAAGCAUGGGGAGCGAACAGG
rnacentral:rRNA from 1 species